rnacentral:rRNA from 1 species
UACAGAGGGUGCAAGCGUUGCUCGGAAUCAUUGGGCGUAAAGGGCAAGUAGGUGGUCUUAUUUGUCUCGUGUGAAAUCCUUGGGCUUAACCCAAGAAGUGCGCGAGAAACGGUGAGACUAGAGUUCUGGAGAGGGUCGUGGAAUUCCCGGUGUAGCGGUGAAAUGCGUAGAGAUCGGGAGGAACACCAGAGGCGAAGGCGGCGACCUGGACAGACACUGACACUCAACUGCGAAAGCGUGGGGAGCAAACAGGAU